rnacentral:lncRNA from 1 species
AUUAUUUUUACCUGCUAUUCCAUGCAUAUAAAAACAAACAUCAAUGACAUCACACUACAAUUGAGAAGUGCAGAUAAUCACUACAUCAGAGAACUAACAUAACAAACAUAUCUGAAUGUGCCAACCAAAACAAGUAGCCCAGAUGGACAUAGCAAGCAUGAAUUGCAUUCAGGAGCACCUGGCCAACAUUCAGAAGCACAUAAUGAAGCCCUAAAGCAUGGGCACAAGAACCACAGAAUCCCAUACCAAAAAGCUAACAACAAACACAACCCAUCAGAGGGCACUUUGAUUAACAGAACUGUAAUAGUAAUACAUUAGGCAUAGAAUCUCAAUUCUUUUCCUAACCAACCAUGUGAACCAUCCAAUCCCUAAGACAGACGAACAAGCAAGGAUCAAUCAAAAUAAACCAAAAGUUUCACAACAAAAAUACUGUGAACUCGAUAUAAAUAUAUAUAAUGCUCCCAGGCCCCAUAAACAUCCCCAUAUGUAGAAAUCAAGUGAAAACAAGUCAGAAACAACAAAUGAGCAAACGUGUGGCACAAUUAUUGCAAUUUGCAGGCCAAGGUAAACAACUUAUAUGGAUAGAUAGUUUCUGAAUCUUGGAGACGGCCUACCAAUUUAUUAAAAGGGGUGAAAAUUUACAGUGUUCACAAAAAUAAGUAGUUGUGUUGUGCACCCAGUUUACAUUGACAGAAUCAAGUGCGGAAAGGAUGACCUUUUCCCCCAACAAAAAAGGUAAAGCCAAAAACCUCGCAUAAGUUGCAAAAUCAAGAGCUACAAAGGAAUCGCUACCUCCUAUAGUUUUAGCCAUACUCGUCAAUAAUUUUUUAGCAAAGCAAUUUAUUCUCUAUAGGAAUAUUUAAUCCAUGUGAGCAAAGAAUCUAGCGAGACUCGUCAAAAUAUGCAAUCCAUGUGUGCAAGGACUCACAUGCUGGUAAAUGCAGUAAUAGUAUACUACUCAUUGGAGGCCAUUAUUGGUAGGGGCCUAGUACAUAAAAAAUAAUAUAAACCAUCUCUGAACUGACACGGCUCACCUGGAAAGCACAAAAAAUAACCGACAAAUGGGUUUUAAAAAACUUCUAAUGAGUUUAGAAGAUAGAAGAACUGCAAUGAAAAUUUUAUCAAACAUUUUUAGUAUGCAACCAUCUCUGAACCCAACUAAGGAAAACAGGAAGGAACAUGAGAGGGGCGUAGUGUGCCUGGUCGAGCGUUCAUGUUCCAAAAGGAGAGAUGCCUUGUUGAAUACAGAUAGAUUUGCAAAAAAACAUAACUGAAAAGAGUACAAUUCUGUGUCUAGCAACGACCUACAACUAAUGUGAACAGUCAAUUACAUAAUUUCUUAGAAGGCAGAGAAAGCAUAAUCCUUCAGAUAUAGACCUUCACGUAUAGACAUAUACACAAUCAAAAGAAAAACUGGCAGUCGACUAUAAAUAGAGAAUUGGUUUAUUUUUAUAGAAAUGGUGGGGAGGGUAGACCUAAAAACAAGUGACCAAACUUUAACAUGAAGCAACAUCACACAGAAGCAAGUUUCACCAAAUGCAUUGUAAUCUAUAUCUGAGAUAAGACAAAAAUCCGAAAAAUUAGAGUGCAUAUGUAGUAGUGCAGUAGUACAUGGUGUCUCUCUUAGUGCACAUUUUUUUGUGAGUCAAGGGGAUCAGAGUAGAAAUGUUCCAGCUAAAUGUCUCAUGUACAAACAAUAUUAUCUGUAUAUUGAUAUGGUCAUGGUUAUGAGUAGUUUCAAAGAAGAAAUGCUAAUCCUAUGAGCAAGCUGAGCAUAAUAAAUUAAGUGUUAACUAUUUGAAAAUAUAUCAAUAGAAGUAGCUUGUCCUGCAGGACAAAACAUGCCAUCAGUCAUUUCUAUAUUAACGAGUGCGCUGAAAUAUAUCCAUGGUUGGUCAGCCUUGUUGAGAACCUUGUCAGCCUUGUAAUGCAAAUACUAAUUAUGCAAUUCAGAAGUAAACUGAGGAUCAAAGCUAGACAUUUGUAGCUGCUACCAUAGCUCUCAAAUUCAACAAAAAGUGGCUUGAUAUGCAUUGCAGUUUCUGAAAGACAAAGUAAAAAAGCACAUCAAUCAUUAGUAGAUUUUGCCAAAAUGAAACCUAGCUUGAUAUGCAUGCAAUUUGUGAAACACAAAGUAAAGAGCACAUUAAAAAUUAGUCUUGAGAUCAUGUAACCAUCAUGCAGACCAACCCGGUGGCCAGCAACUUCGGAUCCUAAUUCCAGAAAUAUCUUGUCAGCAAAGAAACACACACAACCAUCAUAUUAAUAGGGCACCAACAGAAUCUCCUAUAUCAUCUGCAUAUUAAAAGGAAUAAGCAUAACGUACAUAUGAAACCCGUGGUUUUAUUUUACACACUUGACAAAGAAAAUGCAAGAGUAAGCAUAUAUACGCAAACGAUCCAUCCAUGUUCUUAUCAUACCAUCUGCUACAAGAAAUCAAGGAGUUCUUACCUCUGAACUUUGCUAGCUACUCUGUUACAUUUUGUCCUAGAACUUGUAAUAUUUUGGCUGACAGACUUGCAGCCUUUGGGGCACGGCUGGAGCAAAUACCCAUGUUAUUUGGCUGGGUAAGGCUUGAGCGUUCGUGCAUGACCUUGUAGCCAGCAAUCUGGCAACUGUUAUUGGUUAAUGGAAGGACCCUUUCCACCUAAAAAUACUCACCCCUGAGUUCUGAUCUGAUUACAUUCUUUUAGGUUCUUCUGCAUAUUUGCAGACUGUCUGCUCUAGUGCACUCAUCCGAGAAGGAAAUGGCCGACCAGUCUGGUGGAGUGCUACCCAGGAGUAACCUGAAUUUUUUAAACAGACAGUUGCUCUUUCAGAAAGUUUUCAAAAAUAAAAUACACAAUUAUUAACAUGUCUUGCCGUCUAAUCAUGCUAUAACAAUAACCAUAUGUAACAGGCGUCUGAUUUCAGUUAGCUUCAUAAUAAGUCCAGUUCCGAGCACUACAAAAUAAACCUAGUCCUAGAUGAACAUAUCAUCAAACGUAUACAGAGUUAAACAUCACAAUGGGGUUAUUUCAAAAUACCUUUUCAUCCACCCAGGUGCUUCUGUGUUAACACUGUCAGUAGUUUGCGCAGGCCCAGUGGGUGAUGUCUCUUGCCGCUGUCUCUCGCCGCAGUUCAGCCUACCAGCGCCACCACCGUCAACUUACUGCCCUUGUCCAGAGAAAACAUUCCGGUCAUCUUGACAUCUCAGAUUCACUCCAUCUGGCAUUAAAAACACAAGAGGCACUUAAUCUGGGUGUUCCAGACUGUCGGCGAACUCCUCACGGAGAGGAAACCUGUAAAAACCAGCCAAUGAUGGAUGGACAGUCAUCAAAUCGGCUUCCUUAUCCCGGAUUGCCCACAAAUCAGAAAAACAAGGAGACCAGUAGAUAUUUGCGGAAGACAGAACCACUUACCGUUGGACAGCAUCUGGCAGGAGCUCAAGGCCACCAUCUUCCAUCUGCAGAAUA